rnacentral:rRNA from 1 species
UACCUGCAGCUCGAGUGGUAACCGCUAUUAUUGGGCCUAAAGCGUCCGUAGCCGGUUUGGUAAAUAUCUGGGUAAAUCGUGAGGCUUAACUUCACGAAUUUCGGAUAGACUGCCAGACUUGGGAUCGGGGGAGGUCAGAGGUACUCCAGGGGUAGCGGUGAAAUGCUGUAAUCCUUGGAGGACCACCGGUAGCGAAGGCGUCUGACUAGAACGAGUCCGACGGUGAGGGACGAAGCCCUGGGGCGCAAACCGGAUUAGAUACCCGGGUAGUCCAGGGUGUAAACAAUGUGGGCUUUGUAUUGGAGAUCCCACGUGGGUGUCCAGUGCAGAAGAGAAGUUGUUAAGCCCACCGCCUGGGAAGUACGGUCGCAAGGCUGAAACUUAAAGGAAUUGGCGGGGAGCGCAGCAACGGGAGGAGCGUGCGGUUU